UCCCAAAGGGAAACCCUGGUGCGUCUCUCAGUUGGUGCUGCUUCAUCCCAUGCAACCUGCAUAUACAAACACUUAUCUUAAAAAUCAAAGGGAGAUGCAACAAGGCAGUUGACAAAAGAUCCUUGUUAUGUACGGCAACGAUUACCCACGGAGGAAGGAGAGCAGUGGCUAAGGAGUAGCAAGUGUGACGUGGGAUAUGCGUGGUCACUACGCCCAUGGCGGCACCGUUACUAGUCUUUAGGAUCUGUGGUGUCAGUUUGUUAGGCAUAGUCUCUGGUUGGUAGGCUUCAGGCUAUAAAGCCUAAAUGUUGGUUAAUGAGAAAGCAAGGUGGAGAUUGAGAUCAAUCUCUCCCGCUUCCCUGUUCAUGGGUGACGCCAAGCACAGCGUUGCUGCCUCGCCGCCACUCCACUCUCGCUCACCAGUCUCUCUCUCGAAUCUCCUACCUGAUACCCUAGCCCGCCACAACAAUCCUAGUUCUCAAAAAGAACUGUAAAAAUCUAGGUAGAGAAACCACAUGCAGUUCAUAACAUGAUACACAAGUAUUCUAGAUGCACCAGAAUGCUAAAUUCUAGAUUGGCUAAUUGUAAUAUUUUUAAAGUGAUUUCGAAGUUGAUAGGACAGCUACACAGUCCAAAUAUUAACUAGAGCUGGAAAUUUAUACCUUCUUGUUGCA